rnacentral:rRNA from 1 species
UGGGGAAUCUUGCACAAUGGGCGAAAGCCUGAUGCAGCAACGCCGCGUGAGUGAAGAAGGCCCUUGGGUUGUAAAGCUCUUUCGACUCUGAAGAGGGGGUGUGUGUCUAAUAGGCAUGCAUUCUGACGGUAGGAGAUGAAGAAGCACCGGCUAACUCCGUGCCAGCAGCCGCGGUAAUACGGAGGGUGCAAGCGUUGUUCGGAUUGACUGGGCGUAAAGCGCACGUAGGCGGGUUUGUAAGUCGAUUGUGAAAUCCCCGGGCUUAACCUGGGAAAGUCAGUCGAAACUGCAGGUCUUGAAUGCUUGAGAGGUUGGUGGAAUUCCAGGUGUAGGAGUGAAAUCCGUAGAUAUCUGGAGGAACACCGGCGGCGAAGGCGGCCAACUGGCGAUGCAUUGACGC